rnacentral:RNase_P_RNA from 1 species
CCAGUCGGCCGGACAGCCGCCGUCGAAAGAUGGAGGAAAGUCCGGGCUCCACGGAGAAACGGCGCCGGAUAACGUCCGGCGGGGGCGACCCCAGGGAAAGCGCCACAGAAAGCAAACCGCUUUUCGCCAAGGAUUCUCCUUGGCUAGGAGUAAGGGUGAAAGGGUGCGGUAAGAGCGCACCGCGUUGGCGGUAACGUCGGCGGCACGGCAAGCCCCGCCGGGAGCAAAACCGAAUAGGGACGACAGGAGCAAUCCACCCCUUCUCCGGGGCGUCGUCCGGGUUGGUUGCACGAGGCCUCCAGCAAUGGAGGUCCCAGAUGAAUGGCUGUCACGCGCCGCAAGGCGCCAUACAGAACCCGGCUUACAGGCCGACUGGCGCU